UACGUAGGGGGCUAGCGUUGUCCGGAAUCAUUGGGCGUAAAGAGCGUGUAGGCGGCUCGGUAAGUCCGCUGUGAAAGUCCAGGGCUCAACCCUGGAAUGCCAGUGGAAACUGUCGGGCUAGAGUCCGGAAGAGGCGAGUGGAAUUCCUGGUGUAGCGGUGAAAUGCGUAGAUAUCGGGAGGAACACCUGUGGCGAAAGCGGCUCACUGGACCGCAACUGACGCUGAGGCGCGAAAGCUAGGGGAGCAAACAGG
rnacentral:rRNA from 1 species